GACGAACGCUGGCGGCGUGCUUAACACAUGCCAGUCGAACGGAAAGGGCUGGCAUCUGGGGGGUGUCCGAGUGGCGAACGGGCGAGUAACAAGCGAGUAACCUGCCCUCGACUCUGGGAUAACCACAGGAAACUGGGGAUAACACCGGCUAGGUACUCCUGCUGCACGGCGGGGGGUGGAAAGGUUCGGCGGCUGGGGCAGGUCACGUGGCAUAUCAGCUUGUGGGUGGGGUAGUGGCUUACGAAGGCUUUGACGAGUAGCCGGCCUGGGAGGGUGACCGGCCACAGUGGGACUGAGAUGCGGCCCGGACGCCUACGGGAGGCAGCGGUGGGAAAUAUUGCGCGAUGGGCGGAGGCCUGGUGCAGCGACGCCGCGUGCGGGAUGACGGCCUUCGGGUUGUAAACCGCUUUCGCCUGUGACGGAGCGUGAGUGACGGUAAUGGGUAAGAAAGCACCGGCUAACUACGUG
rnacentral:rRNA from 1 species